CUAGUUCGUAGUUCGGAGCUAAGAUAAGUUAUAAUUAUUUAGUAAUUAGUAUAAAAGAAAAGGGCGUUAAUUGCACUUAGUUGCGAUGUAAUAUAGUAGAAUGUGAAGCAGAGAUAAAGAGAUGUCCAACUCACUGGAAGUGAGAGAGCAAUUGCUAAACGUCAAAACCUUCUGAACUUUGACAGCUAAUCGAGUUCAGGAGGUUUUGACGUUUAGCAAUUGGAAAAGUGGGACGGCCAGAUUAAAAUCCCGCCAAAUUAUUAUUCGAAUGGAGACAUUUUUCAUUUUUUUUGUCUCCAUUUGUAGCGGCCAUUAGUUCGAAGAAUAGCGAAAGCGAAACAGCACAUAGAUUGAAAAAUACAAAAUGCCGAAAACAACCAGCAGUUGGAGGAAAUGUAUUAUUGGCUGCAAUGAGGGAGGAAGAACAUUCAGUUUUCCAAACAGUGGAACGGAUCUCGAACGCGAUGAGGCUCAUUUCUGGUUGAAUGGCUACGUAAAUAAGCAAAAUUGCCGCAUUUGGGGUGAAGAGCAACCAGAAGCCGUUCAAGAACUGCCCAUGCAUCCCGAAAAAUGCACUGUUUGGUGUGGUUUGUACGCUGGUGGAAUCAUUGGACCGUAUUUUUUCAAAGAUGCUGUUGGACGCAACGUUACGGUGAAUGGCGAUCGCUAUCGUUCGAUGCUAACAAACUUUUUGUUGCCAAAAAUGGAAGAACUGAACUUGGUUGACAUGUGGUUUCAACAAGAUGGCGCUACAUGCCACACAGCUCGCGAUUCUAUGGCCAUUUUGAGGGAAAACUUCGGACAACAAUUCAUCUCAAGAAAUGGACCCGUAAGUUGGCCACCAAGAUCAUGCGAUUUAACGCCUUUAGACUAUUUUUUGUGGGGCUACGUCAAGUCUAAAGUCUACAGAAAUAAGCCAGCAACUAUUCCAGCUUUGGAAGACAACAUUUCCGAAGAAAUUCGGGCUAUUCCGGCCGAAAUGCUCGAAAAAGUUGCCCAAAAUUGGACUUUCCGAAUGGACCACCUAAGACGCAGCCGCGGUCAACAUUUAAAUGAAAUUAUCUUCAAAAAGUAAAUGUCAUGAACCAAUCUAACGUUUCAAAUAAAGAACCGAUGAGAUUUUGCAAAUUUUAUGCGUUUUUUUUUUAAAAAAGUUAUCAA